UUAAUUUGUUCUCCGGCCAGAAGUACCCACAGCAGUUAGAGGAAAUGUCUUCCUCCCCUACAAGAUUUCUUCUGAUUCUUCCCAGUAGAAAGACUCUUGAAAUACCUGGGAGGACCAGUAUCCUACUGUGGAAGGCCCAGUCUGGAAUAUUCCACAGCAGCCUUGCCAAGGCCUGUGUGCACAAAUCCUAAGUGAUACAGCCUUCAUAGCCACAAGUUCAUGGCUGUUGCCCCCAGUGCCCACACCUGGGCAUGGGUAUCUGGGCCCUGAGAGUCCAGCCUUCACUGCCAAGUGUGCUUAGAAUCAUCCAUCUCUCCAGUGUCUAGGGCCCUGGGGUUGGUUCCAAGUCACCAGUCCAUGCUGCCGCAAUCUCCAAUGGGAAGGUCUUCCCUGGGGCUCCUGAUGUCUGUCCCAGGGGCUUCACCCAGAGCAAAUCUAAGAAGUAUUUGAAGGCUGGGAGCUGUGGCAGUAAAAAACAUUUGUGUUUGUCUCAGGUGAUGGAAAAUGUCCGUAGGAGCUCAAGGAGGUGCACGAGUGCCCUGUAGUGGACUGUACCUGCUGGAAGAAGAGCAAAAAGGGGCCAGGGGAGCUAAGAGAUUAGGGCUGAACUUGGACAAAGGGCACAUUCAGAUUCAAAAGGAGGCAUAUUUAGGGGUGAUUAACUUAUGGCUGCCUGUAGUUCACCAUCUGGAAGACUGGGGUUUUUUCAAAGGGUGUAACCACAAGUCAGAAUGACACACUGGGUUGUACUGCAAAGUCAGAUGAGGGAGAUACUAUAGGCAUUGAAAUGAAAAACUACGUGAUGAUAAAUCUAUAUGCCAUGUCGUUAGACAGUCUAGUCUGAUGCUCUUACUAUCUUAAGAAAUGGCUUAGCAAUGAAUGUAAAGUCAUGUCUAUCACUAUUAAGAAUAAAAUUAUAUCAUAGAAGUUUUCUCUUUCUUCAGAACCACAUACUUUGGCAUCAUUCCUUAAGAAUGAUUUUACACUCAAAAAGUGGAUUUUGUCAGAGACUGGCCAAUGUCAGGGCCUCAAUACCAGCUCCGUGGACUGACAGCACCCUGCCACACAACCCAGGAUCCACUCUAAAUAAGCGCUUUGGAGGAUCUCUCAUUGUGUGUGAAUGUGGGGUCCUUUUUAGUGUUCUUGCCAUUCACCCAUCUGCUCUCACUCUAGGCAGAAUCUAUUGUCCACUCUUGGAUUUGAUACUUAAAUUACUGACCUCUAUUUCUGUCCUUCUUCCAUCCCUCCAUCCCAACAUUGUGAUAGGUCCAAGAGGUGCCUUUUACUCUUCAUUUUGAGUGAAGAGUUCUCAAAAACACUUCCCUUCACCUACCUUGAACAGACCUCCACUUGACUGCCAUCAUCAUCACCCAGAAGCAUUGGGACACUUUUUUGGUUGUCAGAUGCCUUCCAACUACUUGGGGGAAAUGUGACUCUCUCCACAGAGAUGACCAAUAGAAAUGGACAAAAAUAAAUCAUGCUAAAACAUGAAACAUGGUCAGCUUUCGCCAUUUCCUUAAGUGAUAAACUACAAAAUCUGACAUUAAUACUGAGCUAGAGAAUGAAACAUGCAUCACAGUUAGUGAUAAAACUAAAACAGUUAUUUAUGUUUCCUUAAAAGAGCAUCCAGUGCAUUAGGUUCAUUUUCACAAUGAUGUAAGAGUGUCCUUCUGUCAACAGGCUAUCUACAAUUUUGUGACCUGGUGGAAAUGACUCCACUUUUUCCCUUUAAAUGUCAAAUACAAAACUAGAGGUUGCUCCUGGGCCCUCUCCCAGAUCCUACGACCUGCAACCAGCAGCAGGACAAGCUAAUGCCAGAGCUCCCCUGAUCCUCAAGACAGCAGAGGUGGCUUGGGCUGUCCUUGUAUCCUGAUAUCCCCACGUCCCCAGGGAAAUGCUAAGCAGGUGCAAGGCCCAUGGCCAGAUAGUCCCAAGCUCUCAUUGUGGCUCCAUCUGAACCAUCACCAGAACCCUGUGUUCUUUGCCUCCAGCUGCUUCCGGGGACAUGAGGAAAUUCCAGAAGCCAAACACCUGCUGGAAAGCACUGACUCAAUGCUCAUCUCUCAUGAGCAGUUCCUGGGUGUACCUGGACCCUGCAACUACCCUCCAAGAUGUCACCAGACAGACCCACCAGUCCCCACAGGUGGUGGGCCCCAAGGCUUGCAGGUACUUCCCCACAAGACACUUUGAUCUCAUCACCUGGCCCUUCUCUCAGAUGCCAGGAGCAUCACAUGGGUGGAGGGUUUGGUUGGCUUGGCACCCAAGAAUAUCCAGAUUCCUGUGCCAGGGAGGCGGUGCUGAGGCCUCAGGCAGAGCUAGGAUGAGAGACAGAGGUUUGAUGAGGAACCUGCAGUGAGAGCCAGAGGCAGAGGCAGAGGCAGGGUACAGGCCACCACAAAUAAUCUCUGAUGAUAGAUAGGCACAUUGGGUCCCUUUUUUGGGCCCAUGGGGGACUCUGAACAGAAGCCUCCAUUCCAGCCACAAUGUCUGUGAGGUUGAGACCUGAGCCAGGCCAGAUACCUAGCCAUCCCUGUCUGUAUGCAGUAACAGAUGCUUAACAAACACUGUUAAAUAGAUGAGGGAAACCACAUGAGCAGCUUGUUACCCCCAUGUGACACUUGCGGGUCUGAGCAUGUCCCAUGUAGACACAGGGGCAUUGGCAUCAACAUGAGAGGAGGCAAGCAAGCACACACAGCUGUCUCAGAGACGGGACUUUGCCCCUUGUAGAGUCAGGAGGGUGACCGGGAACUCCUAACAGAGAGGCAUCAUUCCCCAUUCAGCCCAGAAAUUCACAACUCCUCCCCAUCUCUACUUUUUGAAUGAAUUCUCUUCUCCCCAGAGGCCCUCAGCCAGCAGCCUGUGUCCUUCUUCUCCUAACAGAGACCUGACUUGACACAAACUCUGGAUACUCUGUUCAGCUAAAGUUACCACCAGAGGAAGAUGGAGCCCUACUCUGAUCACAAAGGAAGUUAGGGGGUGACUCCCUGUCCCCAAGGCCCAUGGUCUGUGGGGACACCUGGUUGUAGUUCCCUGAAGACAUCUCACUAGCCCAUAGAGGCAGGUAAAACAAGGGAGAAUUUCCCAUCCAGGAUGGGACAGGAGAACCUGGAUCGGUGUUUGCUUCCACCUCUGAGGGGAUAAGGGUCACACAGGGGCCUCUCCUCCCUAACAGAGAAACCCAUUGGCUCCCCUGGUUGAGUCUCUAUGUGGAGCUGCUCCAUGUUCUGGGACUUGUGGGAACUAGAGCAGAUGACAACAGGGACACAGAUAACUCAGAUGCAACAUCCCAGUGCUGUGAUGGGAGAAACACAGGCCAUUCUGGGGACUAGCCCUUCAGGCCUUGAGAUAUCCUAGGGUGCAUUGAAACCUCAAGAGAUGACUCACCAGGUCUUUCUUUUGAACCUUGGGGGCAGAGAGCUCUUCCUAAGGCAGCACAUUCACCAGGCAGCACAAGACACUGGAUCAGUAAUCCACUGGACAAUGUCUGUCCUCUCGCUGGGUUCACCCUGCCCUGGGAUGGAGCUGGGAAGCCUGGGACCCACAGUGACAGGACCCUGGCAGACAGGUCUCUCAGCCUGGAGGUCAGAGCCCACCUCUGUUCAGGGCUCAGGGCCAGUUCACACCCUCUGAAGCCUGAUCAGUAUCCCUGGUACACCCCUGACAUUGGCUGCAGGUCUCCUCAUGCCCUUUGGGGAGUGACAUUGGGACACACAGACAACUGGCAGGGAAUUAACUCAUGAAUAUGGCUUUAGCUAAGGAGGUAGAGAAGGAGCCUGAUUUCCAUCCCUCUGUCCAACAGGUCCUUCUGGUCUUGUCCUAACUGGUCCCUGCCUGGUCUCUCCCACAUUCCCCUUCUAAGUGCCACAGAGCACUCUGCUCUGUCAGAGGGCCCUGUGCAGCUCUCCACUCCCUGCCUGGCACCACCCAUGGGGAAGGCAGGGUGACCACAAGAAAGUCAGCCAGGCAGACGACAGGGGGGCCCAAAAUAGUCAGGGGGCACAUGGACAGGCUCUGAGCCACAGCUCAGCCAACAGACAUGGAGAGGGAUGGUCUCCCGAAACCUUUCCCCAAGGACCAGGGAGCCCACCGCCACCUGACCUACCACCACAACUGUCCUUUCACCCAGGACGUGCAGGAAACCUACCCCUUCACACCCAGGAACUUCAGCUCUUUCUUAGACACCCAUACUGGGUCUCUGUCCCUAGAAGCAGAGUCCAGGCUGUUGACACCGGAGAUGAAGGGCAGGUCCCCUCAGCGAUCAUCACUCAGCUUGCCCCUUUUUUACCCCAAGAGUCAUCUCUGUGACCUUCCUGGUGGGAAUAAGUCCAACCUUCCCAGAGCACUUGAGGACACUGGGAAGACUCUGGUACCCAGAUGGGUUUCUGGGUCACAAACACAAAUAAUCCUCCAGGUUUGAGGACUCCUGGGUCUCUGUUUGGUGCUGACAGACCCCAAGGCCAGGACACAGCAGAGACCAAUGCUGGGGUGGGUGGUUCAUCCUCCUAGGGGACAGGGUUCUCCCUCAGCCUUGCCAUUGAAAGUGUACUCUGCAGGCCAGUGUGAUCAGCAUCAUCUGAGAGCUUGUUAGAUGCACACUCUCAAGUCCACCCCUCCCCUGCCAGGUCAGAAUCUGCAUUUUAGCAGGAUCUGCAGACCCUCCUUGUGCACAAGAAAAGGGGAGAAGCUGCUCCACCCCUCACAUCAUGGAGUCUCAGCCUGCCAGGCAUCCACGUUAUCAGGGAAGCUACUAAAUUAGCCUUUCUAAAGUGUCGCUUGGACAUUCACCAUCUUUAUCAACUUACACAGGUGAUUCUGAUUCACCUCAUGUAGCCCCUGGGCUCCUGCUCUGAAGGUAAAAGCCUGACAGGGAUUAGAGUAGGGAGGGUGACUGUGCACUGGGACCCUGUGGGGACUGCCCAGGACAAGACUCCCUAGGCUUCUGCUUGUCCAAACAAGGGUGUGUGCGUGUGUGUGUGUGUAAAUGGAUGAGAAUCACUGCUAAAGAAGGCAGAGGAUUCAGCAGUUACCAGGCAACAGAAAUGUAGUUAGAAGAGAAAGAGAAAGAAGGGGAUGAGGGAGGCGGGGAUGAGGGGACAGAAAGGGAGGAUCCUUGGCAGAGGCCCCGCCCCUAACCCAUGUGACUUGGUAGGACUUCUGCCCAGGGAGAAGGCUCAGUGCAGGGGAAGGAAGGACAGCAGAGUUGACCUGUUUGGACAACAGUGCUUGUGAGCAUUUCUGGAGUCAAACUUCUUCUCACAGAGGAAGUGACAGAGCAGGCAGCAGACACCAUGGAGACUCCUUCAGCCUCUGUCCACAGAGGUCAUGUCCCCUGUCAAGGACUCCUGCUGGCAGUCUUACUCUCAACCAUCUGGAACCCACCCACCACUGCUGGAUUCAACAUUGAAUCAGUGCCAUCCAAAGCUGUUGUAGGGACCGAUGUUAUUCUCCUUGUCACCAAUCUGCCUCAAAAUCUUUCUGCCUAUAUGUGGUAUAAAGGUGACAGAGUAGAACCCAAACUUCACAUUCUAUCAUAUGCAAUACAUACAUCAAAAAUUACUUCAGGGCCUGGAUACAAUGGUCGACAGAAAAUAUACGCUGAUGGAUCCUUGCUGUUCCAGAAUGCCACCCAGGAGGACACAGGAUAUUACACCCUAGAAGUUGUAAAAAGAAAUUUCCUAAUUGAUAUGGGACUUGGACAGCUCCACAUAUACAAGCCAGUGUAAAAGCCCUCCAUCUGAGUCAGCAUAGGACAUAAGGACCCCAGUCACAGAAUAUAAGGACCUUGUGGUCCUGACCUGCCUCACAAAUGAUACCGGGAUCUCCAUCCAGUGAUUCUCCAAUGACCAGAGUUUAGAGCUCACAGAGAAGAUGAAGCUGUGCCAGGACAACAGCACCCUCACCACACACAUCAUCAGGAAGGAGGAAGCUGGGGGUUACCAGUGUGAAGCGUCAAACCUUGUAGGGUCCUGCAAAAGUGACCUCCUCAGGCUCAGUGUGAAAUAUGAGUCUGACCCUGUGGCUCUCUUACCCUUCUCUAUGUUAUCAACUCGAAUAAAUUUUUUUUAUCUAUAAAA